UACGUAGGCAGCAAGCGUUGUUCGGAGUUACUGGGCGUAAAGGGUGCGUAGGCGGCCCUGUAAGUAUGGUGUGAAAUCUCCCGGCUUAACUGGGAGGGUGCGCUAUAGACUGCGGGGCUCGAGUGUGGGAGAGGAAAGUGGAAUUCCUGGUGUAGCGGUGAAAUGCGUAGAUAUCAGGAGGAACACCUGCGGUGUAGACGGCUUUCUGGACCAUUACUGACGCUGAGACACGAAAGCGUGGGUAGCAAACAGG
rnacentral:rRNA from 1 species